AUUUUCCUGCCUCAGCCUCCUGAGUAGCUGGGACUACAGGCGCCCGCCACCACGCCCGGCUAAUUUUUUGUAUUUUUAGUAGAGACAGGGUUUUACCGUGUUCGCCAAGAUGGUCUCGAUCUCCUGACCUCUUCGUCCGCCCGCCUUGGCCUCCCAAAGUGCUGGGAUUAGAGGCGUGAGCCACCGCGCCCGGCCGGUCCACUAAUUCUUUUAAACUCUGUAAGGCAUUUUUUUUUCCUGUUUAAAUAUAUAUCGACAUUAGAUAGCUUUGGCUGUGGCAAAGAGGACCUGCUAUUGUAGGUCUGUGGGCUGGCAGUGACUGGGCGGGGCUCAUCUGAGAUUGGCGGGGCUCGGCUCUGUGCCAUGUACUGUCUCAUUCCGGAACAUGGACGGAAGGCGGGGUCGCUGUUGGGCAUGCUGUUCUCAGGAGGGCAAGCAAAGCUCUGGGGCACUGCUUCUGAAAGCCUCUGCUCACAAUCGGCAGCUGACACCUGCAGACAAUCUCCACUGUUGCAAGAUGUCCCUCUUCAUGGAGAGCUGCCUGAAGCUGAGAAGGGUGCGACGGACCUGAAGGCUGCACAGCGCCGGGUCUUACCCAAGGCUCAAGGUGACCGCUGCCUGGUUUCUGCUGGUGUUUAUUCAAAGCCCAAGGGCUCUCCAGUCAGCAAGUGGUGAAUCUAGUCAGACAUGUGUCCUACGCUUCAGGGCAAUGAGCUUCCCCUCAGCCUAAGAUUCCAUUAUGACAUUAGUCUCUGGUCACAAUUAUCUGAAGCCUUGCAGGAUGCACCAUUCCACUUCAUCCUGUCUUCAUCACAAGAAGAAAAGUGAGUAAAGUACAAUAAGAUAUUUAGAGAGAAA
rnacentral:lncRNA from 1 species